rnacentral:rRNA from 1 species
AGAGGGUGCAAGCGUUGUUCGGAAUUAUUGGGCGUAAAGCGCGUGUAGGCGGCUUGUUAAGUCGGGUGUGAAAGCCCUCAGCUCAACUGAGGAAGGGCGCCCGAAACUGGCGAGCUUGAGUGUCGGAGAGGAUGGCGGAAUACCCCAAGUAGAGGUGAAAUUCGUAGAUAUGGGGUGGAACACCGGUGGCGAAGGCGGCCAUCUGGACGACAACUGACGCUGAGACGCGAAAGCGUGGGGAGCAAACAGGAUUAGAUACCCUGGUAGUCCACGCCGUAAACGAUGAGAACUAGGUGUCGUGGGUGUUGACCCCUGCGGUGCCGUAGCUAACGCAUUAAGUUCUCCGCCUGGGAAGUACGGUCGCAA